UCGCGCACCUGGGGGACGUUGUUCUCCCCCUUGGGGUGGGAGAAGGCGGGGUGCUUGUCCCCGUAGGCGGG
rnacentral:tRNA from 1 species